rnacentral:tRNA from 1 species
AGGGAUGUGGCUCAGUGGUUGAGGGCCCCUGAGUUCAAUUCCUGGUAUCAAAAAUAAAUAAAUAAAUAAAUAGGGACAAGGGAUGUAGCUCAGUGGCAAAGUAUUCCUGGGUUCGACCCCCAGUACCCCCA